ensembl:lncRNA
CUGACUUUGACGAGUUGACAGAAGUAGGCUUCAGAAGGUCGGUAAUAACAAACUUCUCUGAGCUAAAGGAGGAUGUUCGAACCCAUCACAAGGAAGCUGAAAACCUUGAAAAAAGAUCAGAUGAAUGGCUAACUAGAAUAAACAGCGUAAAGAAGACCUUAAAUGAACUGAUAGAGCUGAAAACCAUGGCAUGAGAACUAUGUGAUGCAUGCACAAGCUUCAGUAGCCGAUUGGAUCAAGUGGAACAGAGAGUAUCAAUGAUUGAAGAUCAAAUGAAUGAAAUGAAGCGAGAAGAGAAGUUUAGAGAGAAAAGAGUAAAAAGAAACAAACAAAGCCUCAAAGAAAUAUGGGACUAUGUGAAAAGACCAAAUCUACAUUUGAUUGGUGUACCUGAAAGUGAUGGGAGAAUGGAACCAAGUUGGAAAACACUCUUCAGGAUAUUACCCAGGAGAACUUCCCCAACCUAGCAAGGCAGACCAACAUUCAAUUUCAGGAAAUACAGAGAAUGCCACAAAGACACUCCUUGAGAAGAGCAACACCAAGAUAUAUAAUUAUCAGAUUCUCCAAGGUUGUGUGGGGAGGGCAGAUUUCCCCAGAAGACUGCCAGGGAAAGCCUUUGUCAUUGCCUAUGGAAAGGCCUGAACAUUCACACAUAGAUUUCUUUUCCCCCAGGAACUGCUCUCCUAACAUGGAGCCAAAGCAACUUCCUAAGAAAGGGCAAAAUUCAAAUGACAAACAUCUGUCCUUCCAUGUGGCCUUUUUUAGAUAAAUAUUCUGACUCAAUGAAUGACCUCAUUUGAGAAAGCCUUUUGUAACUCAGGUGUUUGCAGAUCAACAAAUGGUACCAUUUAGGAAGUCCACCUCAAAAACAGAUGCAAAGUCUAUGAAUAAUUUGAACAAAAUGAAGGAUCUUUUUUAAAAAAAUGUAUAAGAAGACAGGUGACAUAGCAAAACCCAACUUUUUCUUCCUUUCUAAGGAAUAUUGCUUAAAAACCAUUCCAUGAACCACAGACUUAGUUAUAACUUUUCACAUAUUUCAAAUUACUUGAGCAGGAAAAUAUACACACAAUCACAGAAUUCUCAUUAGCUCUGCCCAGUAGGUUUAUUAGAGCUGAUUAUAUCAAUGCUCACUUCUUUUAGUCUCCUCUUAUGAUCAACACAUUAUUAUUUUUUUCUUUUUUCUUUUUUUUCUUUUUUUUUGAGACAUAGUCUUGCUCUGUCACCUAGACUAUAGUGCAGUGGUGCAAUCUCAGCUCACUGCAACCAACCUCCCCAACAACAAGCCUCACCCCAGGUUUAAGCGAUUCUUGUGGCUCAGCCACCCGAGUAGUUGAGAAUAUAGGCAUGUGCCACCAUACUCAGCUAAUUUUUGUGUUUUUAGUAGACAUAGGGUUUUGCCAUGUUGGCCAGGCUGAUCUCGAACUCCUGGCCUCAAGUGAUCUGCCUGCCUCAGCCUCCCAAAAUGCUGGAAUUACAGGCAUGAGCUACCACUCCUGAGACAUUACUUUUAAGAAGGACUUUGCAACACAGUGGACAGGACUCAAAGGUAUGUGGUAAGGAUAGCAAGGAACAAAACUUGGGAAUCUUUUGCUGGGAAAAAGAGACUCAUAAGGGUGGGUAGGCAAUAAAAUAAUUAUCUUCAAUAUUUCCUAGAUUAGACAUAAUCAGAG